UCCUACGGGAGGCAGCAGUGAGGAAUAUUGGUCAAUGGGCGCAAGCCUGAACCAGCUAAGUCGCGUGAGGGAUGACGGUCCUAUGGAUUGUAAACCUCUUUUGUCGGGGAGCAAAGCGCGGUACGAGUACCGUGAAGGAGAGUACCCGAAGAAAAAGCAUCGGCUAACUCCGUACCAGCAGCCGCGGUAAUACGGAGGAUGCGAGCGUUAUCCGGAUUUAUUGGGUUUAAAGGGUGCGUAGGCGGAUUAGUAAGUCAGCGGUAAAAAUGCGGUGCUCAACGCUGUAUCGCCGUUGAAACUGCGGG
rnacentral:rRNA from 1 species